AGCGCAGACGGUUAUUUAAGCAAGAUGUGAAAGCCCCGGGCUCAACCUGGGAACUGCGUUUUGAACUGGGUAACUAGAGUGUGUCAGAGGGGGGUAGAAUUCCACGUGUAGCAGUGAAAUGCGUAGAGAUGUGGAGGAAUACCGAUGGCGAGGGCAGCCCCCUGGGAUAACACUGACGUUCAUGCUCGAAAGCGUGGGUAGCAAACA
rnacentral:rRNA from 1 species